rnacentral:lncRNA from 1 species
GAGUAUUUUGUAGCCCUCAGUUCUGGUUUCCACACGAAGCGAUGUGCUGCUCUGCUGUUUUCCCCGGGGACCCAGAGGCAGAUGGAGACAAACAGCAGCAGCUGACAGGCGACAGCAACAUGAUUUCAACACGGAUGGGAGAAAGAGGCCCCCAGGUGUAAUGGGGAAGAACAAGAAACUACUGGAAAUUCUGCCCUGGAAGAAUCUGAUGUGAAACAAGAAUAUCCGGCCCUUUCUUUCUCUUUCUGUGAGUCCAGUGGACACACAGCGUUUGGAGCACAGGAGGAUGGAUGGGAAGGUAGAUCUUCUUCCAUGUCAGCCAUGUUGUGAC